rnacentral:rRNA from 1 species
UAAAAAUUUAAUUUAAAAUGCUAAGUUAUUAAAAGUUAUAUUCUUAAAAACUAAAUAUUUUGGCGGUAUUUUAGUCUUUUCAGAGGAACCUGUUCUGUAAUUGAUAAUCCACGAUUAUUUUUACUUUUAUUAGAAAUUUACAUAUCGUUGUAAUAGAAUAUUUUUUUAGAAUUAAUAUUUAAAAUUUAUUAUCAUAAUAAAAAUCAAAUCAAGGUGUAGUUUAUAUAAAAGAAGAAAUGGGUUACAUUAUAUUUAUAUUUGGAUUAAAAAUUAAAAAUUUUUAAAAAAUUGGAUUUGAAAGUAAUUAAUUUAAUUUAGUUUUAAUGAUUAAGCUCUAAAAUAUGC